rnacentral:rRNA from 1 species
UGGGGAAUUUUGGACAAUGGGCGAAAGCCUGAUCCAGCAACGCCGCGUGUGUGAAGAAGGCCUUCGGGUUGUAAAGCACUUUUGUCCGGAAAGAAAUCCUUGGCUCUAAUACAGUCGGGGGAUGACGGUACCGGAAGAAUAAGCACCGGCUAACUACGUGCCAGCAGCCGCGGUAAUACGUAGGGUGCAAGCGUUAAUCGGAAUUACUGGGCGUAAAGCGUGCGCAGGCGGUUUGCUAAGACCGAUGUGAAAUCCCCGGGCUCAACCUGGGAACUGCAUUGGUGACUGGCAGGCUAGAGUAUGGCAGAGGGGGGUAGAAUUCCACGUGUAGCAGUGAAAUGCGUAGAGAUGUGGAGGAAUACCGAUGGCGAAGGCAGCCCCCUGGGCCAAUACUGACGCUCAUGCACGAAAGCGUGGGGAGCAAACAGGAUUAGAUACCCUGGUAGUCCACGCCCUAAACGAUGUCAACUAGUUGUUGGGGAUUCAUUUCCUUAGUAACGUAGCUAACGCGUGAAGUUGACCGCCUGGGGAGUACGGUCGCAAGAUUAAAACUCAAAGGAAUUGACGGGGUCAUAGCUGUUUCCU